AUCUGUUGCCACCGCUACAAGGGCUUGUCGCUGGAGCCACGACUGUCAAUGAGCUUCCGUCGCCACUGCCGUUCAAGCCGCUGCUGCCGUCGAUUUGGAGUUGCUGCGAUUGGAGCCACUAGUGGGGGUGAGUUGCUACUUCCCUGUUGCCGUCCUAAUCAUAUUCAGCGUCCACUGCCCUGAGCUAUUUCUGCCCUUGAGUUCGUUGAGUUCGGAUUCCUUGUGCUACUGUAACUGUCAUUACUGCUGUGGGAACCAACGUUUCUGUUUGGCUGCUGUUGAAGGUCUUCCACCAUCACUGGAGCUGCCCAGAAUCAUCGUGGAAGCUGCCAAGAUAUAUGUCUGAUUUAGAGAUAUUUUGGAGCUAACUAAGGCUUUUAACAUGAAAGAGACUGAGGCAAAGGCAUAUAUAUAUUUAAAAUCCAGACUGAGGCAAAGGCAAAGGCUUUAUGAUUUUGCACUUACAGACUAUGUUUGUUCAAGCUUAGUAUUAUCUGUUUUGAAGCAUGAAAACGAAGCAUUAUCAAAUGCAGAAAAGCGAGCAUCUGAUGAGGUUCAUAGUUUAUCUGAAAGGGUGCAGCGCCUGCAGGCUAGCCUAGGUACCAUACAGAGUGCUAAGGAAGUUCGAGAGGAACAAGUAAAGCUGCAAAAUUCUUGAGAGCCAAUUGAAUUUCUCUUUUCAAAGUACCAGAAGAAACAGCAGAGCUACUUGGAAAAUCUGACCUGUAUUUCUUUAGCCCUGAGCAUCCUCCAUUGACCGAACCAGCUCAGAAAGCCCUUGACUGGGCCGGAUGAGAAAUUGAAGUCAGGAUUUUGGGAACUCCAACUGAGGAGCAAUGGCCGGGAGUUACUUUGCUUCGUGAUUGGCGUACCUACCCAAAGUGGGAACCUCAGAACUUGGCGAGGACUGUGCCAACUUUGGGACCUGAUGGAGUAGACCUUCUCACGAAAAUGCUCUAGUAUAAUCCUGUUGAGAGAAUCUCUGCCAAGGCAGCACUUGAUCAUCCUUACUUUGACAAUCUUGACAAGUCUCAGUUUUAACAGCAGAUAUUGUCCAAUGCUUUUGUGCAGAUGUUGUAUGUGAAUGAUAGUGAUAUAUGGAAGUAAAUGAAAGUUCACUCCUGGCGUGGAAUUUAAGCAUAUGUGAGAUUAAUGUUGUUUGGUGUUAAGUAAUAGUUUGUCAUCAUCAUCUUGGUGAUAUGAUCAGCUAAGUAGAAACUCUACUGAACCUUUAUCACUCUGUAUUACUCAUGUAGGCUGUGCAUGAUCACCAUUGUCCUUGUGUACUUGAAAAAAUGUCCUUGUAAGAUGUAUGAAUUUUUACAAUUAAUUUCAUUCUAGUAUUUUUGGAUCAUUAUUAUA